AGUGAACGCUGGCGGCGUGCUUAACACAUGCAAGUCGAACGGAUGAAAUAAGCUUGCUUAUUUCGUUAGUGGCGCACGGGUGAGUAAUGUAUAGCUAACCUGCCCUUUAGUGGGGGACAACAGUUGGAAACGACUGCUAAUACCCCAUACUCCUUUUUAACAUAAGUUAAAUCGGGAAAGAUUUAUUGCUAAAGGAUGGGGCUUUAUUGUAUCAGCUAGUUGGUGGGGUAACGGCCUACCAAGGCUAUGACGCAUACCUGGUCUGAGAGGAUGAUCAGGCACACUGGAGCUGGGACACGGUCCAGACUCCUACGGGAGGCAGCAGUGGGGAAUAUUGCACAAUGGGGGAAACCCUGAUGCAGCAACGCCGCGUGGAGGAUGACGCAUUUCGGUGUGUAAACUCCUUUUAUAAGGGAAGAUAAUGACGGUACCUUAAGAAUAAGCACCGGCUAACUCCGUGCCAGCCGCCGCAGUAAUAC
rnacentral:rRNA from 1 species